rnacentral:rRNA from 1 species
CACUACCUCUGGCGGCAUGCCUAACACAUGCAAGUCGAACGAGACCUUCGGGUCUAGUGGCGCACGGGUGCGUAACGCGUGGGAACCUGCCCUUAGGUUCGGAAUAACUCCCCGAAAGGGGUGCUAAUACCGGAUAAUGUCUUCGGACCAAAGAUUUAUCGCCUUUGGAUGGGCCCGCGUUGGAUUAGCUAGUUGGUAGGGUAAAAGCCUACCAAGGCGACGAUCCAUAGCUGGUCUGAGAGGAUGAUCAGCCACACUGGGACUGAGACACGGCCCAGACUCCUACGGGAGGCAGCAGUGGGGAAUAUUGGACAAUGGGCGAAAGCCUGAUCCAGCAAUGCCGCGUGAGUGAUGAAGGCCUUAGGGUUGUAAAGCUCUUUUACCCGGGAUGAUAAUGACAGUACCGGGAGAAUAAGCUCCGGCUAACUCCGUG